AUAGCGUAUAUUAAAGUUGUUGCAGUUAAAAAGCUCGUAGUUGAACCUUGGGUCUGGCUGGCCGGUCCGCCUCACCGCGAGUACUGGUCCGGCUGGACCUUUCCUUCUGGGGAACCUCAUGGCCUUCACUGGCUGUGGGGGGAACCAGGACUUUUACUGUGAAAAAAUUAGAGUGUUCAAAGCAGGCCUUUGCUCGAAUACAUUAGCAUGGAAUAAUAGAAUAGGACGUGCGGUUCUAUUUUGUUGGUUUCUAGAGUCGCCGUAAUGAUUAAUAGGGAUAGUUGGGGGCAUUAGUAUUCAGUUGCUAGAGGUGAAAUUCUUGGAUUUACUGAAGACUAACUACUG
rnacentral:rRNA from 1 species